rnacentral:misc_RNA from 1 species
AGGAUGGCAGCAUUGAAGAGGUAUGCAUUCUUUACAUUAUGGCUGCGAAUCGUUGCUAUCAACUAUAAUUAUACAUGUUGCAAUGAUAAGUAAUCAAGUUGAUCUCGUCUGCUAAAUUGCCACAUGCCUCCUCACUAUUUGAUUUGUUGGUGGCUCUUCAUACAGUUCUGUUUUACCAGUCCUAGUAAUUCUGACUAGUAUUUUUGUUUACAUCUUUGGCACAAAGCUCAAUAGUAUGCUUUUUUUAACUUCUAAAGUUGUAAAUUAGUUGCCUUCUCAACUUUAUUUGUUUCUAGAGAAAAAGUUUGUAGAUGAAUUUCACAUGUGAAUGGUUAAGAUGCUGCAAAAUUGGAGUUCUAGGUCCAACUGCUGAUGAAAAUAGCUACCAACAUCAUUUUGGUUGUUUUCACCUAAAGAAAGGGUGCACAAAGAUACCACAAUUGUGGACUCUGGAGAGGGUUGAUGUAUCCAGCUUAUCCCUGCAUUGUGGAGAGGGUGUUUGUGGCUCAAAUCCGUGGCCUCCGGGUCACAAAUGGAAUAACUUACCAUUACACCAAAGCCUUCACAUAGUAAAUUGAUUUUUCAAUAGCAUUUGAUCUUAUUUUAAUAUAAUGUGCUUGGACUAGGUACAUUGAUUUUUUUUAGUGAUGAGUAGAUUGUGUAUAUAUUCUCCUGAUUAAGUACAGCUAGUUUUGGACAGCAGGAGUGCAAUUUUUACUUCCAUCUUAUGCGAUUCAUACAUUUACUGUGAAUGUAUGCAGGUAGCGGAAAAAUUAAUGAUCA